AUUGUACUUUUAGGAGACAUUUUUGUUUUUUCUCCGACAUCAGAUGUGAAAGCUGCCAGGUUAAAAAGUUGACACAGUUCCUGCAGAGUUACAGACAGCAGCUAUGGAAUCUGAAAGAUUGUGGAAGACUACGAGUGAUUCUAUUGUAUCUCAGGAAAUGCAUCGGGCCACACAGGAGUCCAUACUGGAAGAAGACAAAGGGAGGAAGCUGAAGACUGAAAGGCCCUGAUGAUUGCAUGGGUACCUUAGUUGUUUCAGGGACUCAAUUGCAGGUGACUGGAUAUAUAAUCAUAUUGAAUCAGAACACAGCAUCCCCUUUGUAGAAAAUGAGAGAUUCCUGAUUUUUUGCUACUACUUAGAGACCCACAAAGUAUCCAGUCCUCAUUGCUGUCAUUAAAAGUGAUAAAGG